CCUACGGGAGGCAGCAGUGAGGAAUAUUGGUCAAUGGGCGCAAGGCUGAACCAGCCAAGUAGCGUGAAGGAUGACUGCCCUACGCAUUGUAAACUUCUUUUAUAAAGGAAUAAAGUGAGGCACGAGUGCCUGUUUGUGUGUACUUUAUGAAUAAGCAUCGGCUAACUCCGUGCCAGCAGCCGCGGUAAUACGGAGGAUCCGAGCGUUAUCCGGAUUUAUUGGGUUUAAAGGGUGCGUAGAUGGGUUGUUAAGUCAGUUGUGAAAGUCUGCGGCUCAACCGUAAACUUGCAAUUGAUACUGGCAGUCUUGAGUACAGUUGAGGUAGGCGGAAUGCGUGGUGUAGCGGUGAAAUGCUUAGAUAUCACGCAGAACUCCGAUUGCGAAGGCAGCUUACUA
rnacentral:rRNA from 1 species